UGUGGGGUGCCGGUGUGAGGGGGGAGCGGGUUUGGGGUGCCGGUAACCCCGCUGAGCUCUGUACUGCCUCCAGAAUGUGCUUCGUGCCGCUGAGUCUAAAGGCAAUCUAAGCAGUGCAUGCAGCUGCUUGAAUGAUAUACAUCAACCUGAAAUCUGCUAAAAGGAAAGUCUGGAACAGCAUAUGUAUUUGGUGUCCUAAA